GUCACACAUUCGUAAUGCACAUUAGGGCAGUUGAGUUUUUUUCCUCCAGCGAGUGUUCACACCUGUACUUGGUCCUCUGCUGAGCUAAUGUACGGUCAUUUUACAUUCCAUUUAGACAUGGACGGUUUUCUCCCAGUGCUCAGGGUUUUCCUCAAAAAGAAUCUUUCUUAAUCGAUUAAUACAUUCGUUCUGCUAUAAAAGUAGAGUCCAUCACUUAUCCGAGAGUACAGUUCCAGAACCAAGGCUGUGCAUAGAGAAGAUAUGGCCCAGCGUCCGCGUCCCCCCAACCCUUUGACAGGAACACACCCCUGUACCCGCCCCCUGGACCGCGUCCACCCUUGACAAAAUGUCACGCCAAGUUUUCUUGAAAACUCGACAGCCCCGAUAUGAAAGAAUAUUGAACUAGACAACAGGGACAUGCUCGAGCCAGAUGACAUUUCAAGGGACAAUUUUGACGUCCAACCUCCCUGUGAAGCCUUGGCAUACAGCGAAACCUCUGGGAAUGCUACAAGGGACAGACUGGCUGCCCUAGUUUCAGGCAUUGUAUGAACUCAUGAAGAUGACCCAGAUGUGUAUUUUUGUCUGUGUAUGAUAUUUGCAAUAAAAUGUU
ensembl:lncRNA